UACGUAGGCAGCAAGCGUUGUUCGGAGUUACUGGGCGUAAAGGGUGCGUAGGCGGUUGUUUAAGUUUGGUGUGAAAUCUCCCGGCUCAACUGGGAGGGUGCGCCGAAUACUGAAUGACUCGAGUGCGGGAGAGGAGAGUGGAAUUCCUGGUGUAGCGGUGAAAUGCGUAGAUAUCAGGAGGAACACCGGUGGUGUAGACGGCUCUCUGGACCGUAACUGACGCUGAGACACGAAAGCGUGGGUAGCAAACAGG
rnacentral:rRNA from 1 species